UACGAAGGGGGCUAGCGUUGCUCGGAAUCACUGGGCGUAAAGGGUGCGUAGGCGGGUCUUUAAGUCAGGGGUGAAAUCCUGGAGCUCAACUCCAGAACUGCCUUUGAUACUGAAGAUCUUGAGUUCGGGAGAGGUGAGUGGAACUGCGAGUGUAGAGGUGAAAUUCGUAGAUAUUCGCAAGAACACCAGUGGCGAAGGGCGGCUCACUGGCCCGAGUACUGACGCUGAGGCACGAAGGUCAGGGGAGCAAACGGG
rnacentral:rRNA from 1 species